rnacentral:rRNA from 1 species
UACAGAGGGUGCAAGCGUUGUUCGGAAUUACUGGGCGUAAAGGGCGUGUAGGCGCCUUGCAAGUCAGAUGUGAAAUCCCGGGGCUUAACUCCGGAAGUGCAUUUGAAACUGCAAGGCUAGAGUGCUGUAGAGGAUGGCGGAAUACCCAGUGGAGAGGUGAAAUUCGUAGAUAUUGGGUAGAACACCGGUGGCGAAGGCGGCCAUCUGGGCAGCAACUGACGCUCAUGCACGACAGCGUGGGGAUCAAACAGG